AAUGUACCGGGGCUAAACAUAUUACCGAAGCUGUGGAUUGUCCUUUGGACAAUGGUAGGAGAGCGUUCUAAGGGCGUUGAAGCAUGAUCGUAAGGACAUGUGGAGCGCUUAGAAGUGAGAAUGCCGGUGUGAGUAGCGAAAGACGGGUGAGAAUCCCGUCCACCGAUUGACUAAGGUUUCCAGAGGAAGGCUCGUCCGCUCUGGGUUAGUCGGGUC
rnacentral:rRNA from 1 species